CCCGCUGAACUUAAGCAUAUCAAUAAGCGGAGGAAAAGAAACCAACAGGGAUUGCCUCAGUAACGGCGAGUGAAGCGGCAACAGCUCAAAUUUGAAAUCUGGCUCUUUUAGGGCCCGAGUUGUAAUUUGUAGAGGAUGCUUCGGCGUCGGCUCCGGUCUAAGUUCCUUGGAACAGGACGUCAUAGAGGGUGAGAAUCCCGUAUGUGAUCGGUUGCCUUUGCCAUGUGAAGCUCCUUCGACGAGUCGAGUUGUUUGGGAAUGCAGCUCUAAAUGGGAGGUAAAUUUCUUCUAAAGCUAAAUAUUGGCGAGAGACCGAUAGCGAACAAGUACCGUGAGGGAAAGAUGAAAAGCACUUUGGAAAGAGAGUGAAACAGUACGUGAAAUUGUUGAAAGGGAAACGCUUGAAGUCAGUCGCGUCGACCGAGUGCUCAGCCUCGCCUUGGCUUGGUGUCCUUCUCGGCUGACGUGUCAGCUUCAAUUUUGAUCCUUGGAUAAUGGCAAGGGAAAGGUAGCUCCUUUCCAGCGUGUGUUAUAGUCCUUUGUCGGAUGCAACGGCUGGGAUUGAGGAUCUCAGCACGCUCCUCAUCGGUGUCGGGGCCUUCUGACCUACGUUCCGUGCUUAGGAUGCUGGCAUAAUGGCUGUAAGCGACCCGUCUUGAAACACGG
rnacentral:rRNA from 1 species